ACUAAAAACCCUAACUUAUAAAGAGGUGUAUUUAUUAGAUUAAAAACCAAUGCCCUUUAGGGCUUACUAGUGAUUUAUAAUAACUUCUUAAAUCAUAUAGCCUUACGCUAGCAAUAGUUUAUUUAAAUUUCUUCCCUAUUAACUUUUAAUACUAGAGUAGUGUUCUAGUAUAGUUAUAACAGGUAACAGAGGGUUAGGGCUUGACCCUAGAGAAGGAGCCUAAGAAACGGCUACUAUAUCUAAGGAAGGCAGCAGGUGCGUAAAUUACCUAAUCCUGACAUAGGGAGGUAGUGACAAUAAAUACUAAUAUAGGGCUCUUUUAGGUCUUAUAAUUAGAAUAAGUAUAAUUUAAAUCCCUUAAUAAGGAAUAAUUAGAGGGUAAGUCUGGUGCUAGCAGCUAUAGUAAUUCUAGCUUUAAUAGCGUAUAUUAAAGUUGUUAUAGUUAAAAAGCUUGUAGUAGAACCUUAGGCCUAGCUAGCUAGUCUACCUCACCGCGUGCACUAGUCUAGCUAGGCCUUUCCCUCUGCAGAACCAUAUGCCCUUUACUAGGUGUGCUAGGGAAGUAGGACUUUUACUUUAAAAAAAUUAGAGUGCUUUAGGCAGGCCUAUACUUAAAUAUAUUAGUAUAGAAUAAUAGAAUAGGACGUGUAGUUCUAUUUUAUUAGUUUCUAGGACUACUGUAAUAAUUAAUAGGGACAGUUAGGGGCAUUAGUAUUUAAUUAUUAGAGGUAAAAUUCUUAGAUUUAUUAAAGACUAACUACUAUAAAAGCAUUUACUAAGGAUGUUUUUAUUUAUUAGGAACAAAAGUUAGAGGAUUAAAGACAAUUAGAUACUGUUAUAGUCUUAACUAUAAACUAUACUAACUAGGGAUUA
rnacentral:rRNA from 1 species